rnacentral:lncRNA from 1 species
CGUCGCUCUUGGUUUUUUUUAUGGUUUCAGUCUAAAACAUGUCAGACAGAAAUUAACCUGACUAAACCCUACGUGUACUUCCCAAUUUAUCAUCCUCAUCUUUGUUUUUCGUGAAAUAAUUGACAAGCUUCGCUAUUAGUAAAGCAUAAAUUUACUUGUCGGUAUUUUUACUUCGUGGAUACUGUUCCGACAUUCAAGGUACAACAUGUAUAUAUAAAUUG